rnacentral:rRNA from 1 species
GAUCAAGUGUCUUAAGGGCAAUUGGUGGAUGCCUUGGCAUGCACAGGCGAUGAAGGACGUGAUACGCUGCGAUAAGCUACGGGGAGGUGCGAAUACCCUUUGAUCCGUAGAUUUCCGAAUGGGGAAACCCACCUAAGGUACUUGGAAAAUCAGAGCAGCCGGAAGGUCGCAAGGCCGACUUGCUGCUGUGGUUUCCAAGUAUCGAUAAUAGGUAACUUACCCUGAAUACAUAGGGGUAAAGUGGCGAACGCGGGGAACUGAAACAUCUAAGUACCCGUAGGAAAGGACAUCAACCGAGACUCCGGAAGUAGUGGCGAGCGAACCCGGACCAGGCCAGUGGCGAUUGAGAGACAAGCGGAACCUUCUGGAAAGUAGGGCCAUAGUGGGUGACAGCCCCGUACGCGUAAUGCAAUCAAUCGUCCUCGAGUAAGGCGGGACACGUGAAAUCCUGUCUGAAAUUGGGGGGACCACCCUCCAAGCCUAAGUACUCGUGCAUGACCGAUAGCGAACUAGUACCGUGAGGGAAAGGUGAAAAGCACCCCGACAAGGGGAGUGAAAGAGUACCUGAAACCGAUUGCCUACAAACAGUGGAAGCCCAAGGUUCGUCCUGGGUGACCACGUACCUUUUGUAUAAUGGGUCAGCGACUUAGUGUGACGAGCAAGCUUAAACCGCUAGGUGUAGGCGCAGCGAAAGCGAGUCUGAACAGGGCGUUUAGUUCGUCGCAUUAGACCCGAAACCGAGUGAUCUAGCCAUGAGCAGGUUGAAGGUAAGGUAACACUUACUGGAGGNCUGAAACCGAUUGCCUACAAACAGUGGGAGCCCGCAAGGGUCACCACGUACCUUUUGUAUAAUGGGUCAGCGACUUAGUGUGACGAGCAAGCUUAAACCGCUAGGUGUAGGCGCAGCGAAAGCGAGUCUGAACAGGGCGUUCAGUUCGUCGCAUUAGACCCGAAACCGAGUGAUCUAGCCAUGAGCAGGUUGAAGGUAAGGUAACACUUACUGGAGGACCGAACCCAUAACUGUUGCAAUAGUUCGGGAUGACUUGUGGCUAGGGGUGAAAGGCCAAUCAAACUCGGAAAUAGCUGGUUCUCCGCGAAAUCUAUUUAGGUAGAGCGUCGACCGAAUACCCCAGGGGGUAGAGCACUGGAUGGGCUAGGGGUCCUCACCGGAUUACCAAACCUAACCAAACUCCGAAUACCUGGGAGUACUAGUCGGCAGACACACGGCGGGUGCUAACGUCCGUCGUGAAAAGGGAAACAACCCUGACCUACAGCUAAGGUCCCCAAGUUAUGGCUAAGUGGGAAAGGAUGUGAGGAUCCCAAAACAACCAGGAUGUUGGCUUAGAAGCAGCCAUCAUUUAAAGAAAGCGUAACAGCUCACUGGUCUAAAUAAGGGUCUUUGCGCCGAAAAUGUAACGGGGCUAAAGCCAUACACCGAAGCUUAGGGUUUGGUCCGCAAGGGCCAAGCGGUAGCGGAGCGUUCUGUAAGCUGAUGAAGCCAUACCCGUGAGGGGUGGUGGAGGUAUCAGAAGUGCGAAUGCUGACAUGAGUAACGUAAGGGGAGUGAGAGACUCCCCCGCCGAAAGACCAAGGGUUCCUGCUUAAAGCUAAUCUGAGCAGGGUUAGCCGGCCCCUAAGACGAGGCGGAAACGCGUAGUCGAUGGGAACCACGUUAAUAUUCGUGGGCUUGGAGGUAGUGACGGAUCAUUGAGGUAGUCCAAUCUUAUCGGAUUGAACGGGCUGCUGCGUGGUUCCAGGAAAUAGCUCCUCCUUAUAAACCGUACCCGAAACCGACACUGGUGGUCUGGUAGAGUAUACCAAGGCGCUUGAGAGAACUAUGCUGAAGGAACUCGGCAAAUUGCACGCGUAACUUCGGAAGAAGCGUGACCCUUUUCUACGCAAGUAGAGGAGGGUGGCACAGACCAGGGGGUAGCGACUGUUUAUCAAAAACACAGGGCUCUGCGAAGUCGCAAGACGACGUAUAGGGUCUGACGCCUGCCCGGUGCUGGAAGGUUAAGAGGAGGGGUGCAAGCUCUGAAUCGAAGCCCCAGUAAACGGCGGCCGUAACUAUAACGGUCCUAAGGUAGCGAAAUUCCUUGUCGGGUAAGUUCCGACCUGCACGAAUGGCGUAACGACUUCCCCGCUGUCUCCAGCAUAGACUCAGUGAAAUUGAAUUCCCCGUGAAGAUGCGGGGUUCCUGCGGUUAGACGGAAAGACCCCGUGCACCUUUACUAUAGCUUUACAUUGGCAUUCGUAGUGGCAUGUGUAGGAUAGGUGGUAGGCUUUGAAGCCUGGGCGCCAGCUCAGGUGGAGCCACCCUUGAAAUACCACCCUUAUUACUAUGGAUGUCUAACCGCGGCCCGUUAUCCGGGUCCGGGACAAUGUAUGGUGGGUAGUUUGACUGGGGCGGUCGCCUCCUAAAGAGUAACGGAGGCGCGCGAUGGUGGGCUCAGAACGGUCGGAAAUCGUUCGCUGAGUGCAAUGGCAUAAGCCUGCCUGACUGCGAGACUGACAAGUCGAGCAGAGACGAAAGUCGGUCAUAGUGAUCCGGUGGUCCCGCGUGGAAGGGCCAUCGCUCAACGGAUAAAAGGUACGCCGGGGAUAACAGGCUGAUGACCCCCAAGAGUCCAUAUCGACGGGGUUGUUUGGCACCUCGAUGUCGACUCAUCGCAUCCUGGGGCUGGAGCAGGUCCCAAGGGUAUGGCUGUUCGCCAUUUAAAGCGGUACGUGAGUUGGGUUCAGAACGUCGUGAGACAGUUCGGUCCCUAUCUGCCGUGGGUGUAGGAAUAUUGAAAGGAUCUGUCCCUAGUACGAGAGGACCGGGAUGGACGGAUCUCUGGUGGACCUGUUGUGGCGCCAGCCGCAUAGCAGGGUAGCUAUAUCCGGACGGGAUAACCGCUGAAGGCAUCUAAGCGGGAAACCCACCUUAAAACGAGUAUUCCCUGAGAACCGUGGAAGACGACCACGUUGAUAGGCCGGGUGUGGAAGAGCGGCAACGCUUGAAGCUUACCGGUACUAAUAGUUCGAUCGGCUUGAUCGU